GGACUCUUGAGUGGGAACAACUGAAUACAAUUGAAGCAAAGGAAGAUAGGUGGUUAAUGGAAGCACGAUGACAAACGAGCAGAGGAGCAAAUGGAUCAGAAGAAAGAGGACCUAAUUACAUGAAUGUGACAGUAAGUUAUAGUAUGAUCUUUUGGUCAUUGAUCAAUAAAAUAAUGAGAACUCAUAAUAUAUAAAAAAAUAACUUAUCAUUAUUGUUAUUUGCUUUAGUUUGUCUUUCUUUUCUCUUUGUCCUCCGAUAAUUGUCAUGUAACAGAUUCUUUUUGAAUCCAUUAUUUAUAAAAAAAUUUCCUGUGACUUUUGAAACCCACAAUUUCAACCAAACAUUUUUACUUGAAAAUAAAAACAACAAUUUAUUAUCCAGAGAGAAAGCAAUGAAUAAAGUUUACAUAACAACAACUCGAAUUUGAUCAACUGCCACACUCGGACAUUUUUUCCUUGCAUCAAACUUGAGUUGUAUACCACAUGGUUUAUAAAAGUCUAUAUAAUUAAAUCCAUAACACCAACAGAGCAGUAAAGAGCAGCAAUCAGUAAGUGAAGGAAAAGCGACAACUUCGACAUAUGAACGACCUGCAACCAUAGAGGGUUUCUCUACACCUAAACAAUUACGCUAUGUGCAUCUUGAACACCACAAGCUAGAAAAUAAACCCGGACAUGCUCAGCUCAGAUGACGAUUCAGCAACAUAUUUGAAGGGGUAUCUAAUUCGAUGAGAGCAGAGCAAACCGACGCACUAAAGGAACGAGGGCUCUUGGCCAUCAAAGGAUGGAUCAGGAGCUACGUUGCCAGCUCAACAUACCAAGCAGUAUCGUACAUGUAACACUACACAAUUCUCAAAUCAAUGCUAAUGUCUCUGGGGCAAAUUGUCGAACAGGUGGUGAACGCGAACUGCGAGAGGUUCGGUAGUUCAGUAGACAGAUACAUUCAAUGAACCGGCAUGACAUGAGAUGGUUAUCCAGAUGAAUCAACAAAUUCGAAGGCAAACGAAGAACGAUCCAACGUCGGAGUGCUCUCAACCGAAGAGAAACAGAACAUCCUAGGAUGAUUACCUGGGAUCGGCUACAGUGACGCGCGACUUGAAUCGCGGGGGCGGAAGAGAGCCGUGACGAAGUGGAGAACGCACUCACUGGAAAUGACGGCACCGAUCGGGGGUAGGAUGGUCGUCGGCGUGGC
rnacentral:lncRNA from 1 species